GAUGAACGCUAGCGGCGUGCCUUAAGCAUGCAAGUCGAACGGCAGCACGGGUGCUUGCACCUGGUGGCGAGUGGCGAACGGGUGAGUAAUACAUCGGAACGUACCCAGUUAUGGGGGAUAACUAACCGAAAGGUUAGCUAAUACCGCAUACGCCCUGAGGGGGAAAGCGGGGGACCGUAAGGCCUCGCGUAAUUGGAGCGGCCGAUGUCUGAUUAGCUAGUUGGUGAGGUAAAGGCUCACCAAGGCGACGAUCAGUAGCAGGUCUGAGAGGAUGAUCUGCCACACUGGAACUGAGACACGGUCCAGACUCCUACGGGAGGCAGCAGUGGGGAAUUUUGGACAAUGGGCGAAAGCCUGAUCCAGCCAUUCCGCGUGAGUGAAGAAGGCCUUCGGGUUGUAAAGCUCUUUCGGCAGGGAAGAAACGGUCUAGGUUAAUACCUUGGGCUAAUGACGGUACCUGAAGAAGAAGCACCGGCUAACUACGUGCCAGCCGCCGCAGUAAGAC
rnacentral:rRNA from 1 species